GAUGAACGCUAGCGGCAGGCCUAAUACAUGCAAGUCGAACGGGAUUAAGAGGCUUGCUUCUUAUGAGAGUGGCGCACGGGUGCGUAACACGUAUGCAACCUACCUUUAACUGGGGGAUAGCCUUCCGAAAGGAAGAUUAAUACCGCAUAAUAUAAUGGAGUGGCAUCACUUUAUUAUCAAACACUAUGGGUUAAAGAUGGGCAUGCGUCCGAUUAGCUAGUUGGUACGGUAACGGCGUACCAAGGCGACGAUCGGUAGGGGAUCUGAGAGGAUGGCCCCCCACACUGGUACUGAGACACGGACCAGACUCCUACGGGAGGCAGCAGUAAGGAAUAUUGGUCAAUGGACGGAAGUCUGAACCAGCCAUGCCGCGUGCAGGAAGACGGUCCUCUGGAUUGUAAACUGCUUUUGUUAGGGAAGAAACUUCCGUACGUGUACGGGACUGACGGUACCUAAAGAAUAAGGAUCGGCUAACUCCGUGCCAGCAGCCGCAGUAAGAC
rnacentral:rRNA from 1 species